AACGUAGGACACAAGCGUUAUCCGGAGUUACUGGGCGUAAAGGGCGUGUAGGCGGAUCGGUAAGUCUACUCUGAAAGCUCCUGGCUAAACUGGGAGAGGCGAGUGGAGACUGUCGGUCUAGAGUACGGAAGAGGAGAUUGGAAUUCCUGGUGUAGCGGUGAAAUGCGCAGAUAUCAGGAGGAACACCAACAGGCGAAGGCAGAUCUCUGGACGUAAC
rnacentral:rRNA from 1 species